rnacentral:sRNA from 1 species
AUUCCCACAAACCCUGCUGAUUUGACCCCAUUGACCCAGACCCCUGUUCCCUGCCGCUGGAUGAGGGCUCCUGCACUGCCUACACCCUGCGCUGGUACCAUCGGGCUGUGACAGGUGGCACAGAGGCCUGUCACCCUUUUGUCUAUGGCGGCUGUGGAGGGAAUGCCAACCGUUUUGGGACCCGUGAGGCCUGCGAACGCCGCUGCCCACCCCGGGUGGCCCAGAGCCAGGGGACAGGUACUGCCCAGGACUGAGGCCCAGAUGAUGAGCCGAGAUUCAGCGUCCCCUGGAGGAGUCGCGGUCUCAGCAGAACCCCACUGUCCCUCCCCUUGGUGCUAGAGGCUUGUGUGCACGUGAGCGUGCGUGUGCACAUCCAUUAUUUCAGUGACUUGGUCCCGUGGGUCUAGCCUUCCCCCCAGGGACAAACCCCCAUUGUGGCUUCUGCCACCCUGGCAGAUGACUCACUGUGGGGGGUGGCUGUGGGCAGUGAGCGGAUGUGACUGGCGUCUGACCCGCCCCUUGACCCAAGCCUGUGAUGACAUGGUGCUGAUUCUGGGGGGCAUUAAAGCUGCUGUUUUAAAAGGC